CAUGACAUUCUAGACGAAAAAUUAUUUGACUAUGGAUUACGUGGUGCUGCUCUUAAACUUAUUAUGAAUUACUUAUCUGAUAGAAAACAAUAUGUUAAACUCGGAAGCUUAGCGUCAGCAGAAACAGAACUUAAGCAAGGCGUUCCACAAGGUUCUAUCUUAGGACCCUUGUUAUUUAUACUUUAUAUAGAUGGCAUAUGUAAUAUCCCACACACAGAAAAACUAGUCAUGUACGCAGAUGACGCGAACGCCUUUUUCAGUGCUGAUACAAUGGCCGAUCUUCAAGUUACUGUAGCUAAUUAUUUAAGACAUCUGGAACUGUGGCCCCAUGAAAACAAGCUUGACUUAAACGCAAGGCACCACGCUGGAAUGUGUUAAAACGCAAAAAUUUCUAGGAGUAUGGUUUGAGGAAAACAUGUCAUGAAAUUCAUAUGUAUCAAAACUUGUCUCCGAAUUAGGCAAAACUGUAGGCUGCAUGUAUAAGCUAUCAGACCUUGUACUAUUAUGGCUUAAAAAGGCUAUAUACUA
rnacentral:lncRNA from 1 species